ensembl:lncRNA
AUGAGCCCCCACCACCAUCUGAUGGUCCCAUAUGAGCCACCACCGCCAUCUGCUGGUCCCAUAUGGGAACCCACCACCACCUUCCGGUCCGUAUGGUUCCAUAUAAGCCCCCACCACCAUUUCCUGCUCCGUAUCAUCCCAUAUGAGAACCCACCACCACCUCCUGGUCCAUUUGGUCCCAUAUGAGCCCCCUCCCCACCUCCUGACCCUUCCGGACCCCCCUCCCUUCCCCCCCUCAGAACCCAUCUCUGGACCCCGGGUGUCACCAAGGCGUCCCAUUGAGCGAAGUGCCUCCUGCUCACCAUGGGACGAUGGGGAGGGGAAGGUGGGUGUGAGAGGUGGGAGGGGGAGGGGAGGGNNNNGGGGGGGAGGGGUGUCCACUCGGAGGGUUGGGGGUCGUUCCGGGGGUCCCGGGCAGAGUGUACAGACCUAUAAAGAGAGAGAUAUUACAUAGAGUCGUUUGCUAACGAGAUAGUUUUAAUUGCAGAUGUAUUUUAUCGCGUGUGCGUGUGUGUGUGUGUGUGUGUGUGUGUCCCACCCGACCCCCCCCCACACACCCCCCAAAUUUGGGGACACUUUGGGGCGGCAUUGGGGACCCCCUCCUCUCCCGUAUCCCCCCUUUUUAUUUCAUUUUUCUAUGAAUUUAAUUUCUUUCUUUCCAGCUUUCCAAUAAUUACCUUUUCUCCUCUGCUUUUUUUCCUCGGUUUUUUUCCUCAUUUUUUUUUCCUUCUUUCUUUGUAUUUUCUUUCUUUCCUUUCCCGCCUUUUAUUUCCUUUUUUGCAACUUUUUCCCCUUUAUUUUCCCCCCUUUUCCUCCCCGUUUUUUCCCCUUUUCCCAAUAUUUUUUCCUGUUUUUUUCCCUUUUCCCCCUUUUUCCGCUCCAUUUUUUACUCUUCUCUUUCCUCUUUUCCUUUAUUCCUUUUUUUGUCUUUCCCAUUUCUUUUCCUUUUAUCAUUUUAUUUCCUUUUAUUUUUUUCUUUUUCCCCAUUUUUCUUUUCUCCUUUUCUUUUUUUCGUUUUUCCCUUUUUCUUCUUUUUUUCCCCUUUUUCCCUUUUUUCCCCUUUUCCUUUCAUUUCCCUUUUUCCCUUUCCCUGCUUUUCCUUUUUUCCUUCUCCCAUUUAUUUUUCCUUUUCUCCCUUUAUUUUCCAAUUUUCUUCUCCUUUUUUCCCCUUCUCCUUUUUUUCCUUUUGCACCUCUUUCUUUUCUCCCUUUACUUUUCCAUUUCUUCCCCCCUCUCCCAUUUGUUUUCCCUUUCUCUCCUUUGCCCCAUUUAUUUUUUUACAAUUUUCUUCUCCUUUUUCCCCUUUUUUUCCCUUUUCUUUUUCCCCCUUUCCCUUUUAUCCCUUCCUCCUUCUUUUCUCUGUCGUUUUUUUUCCCAUUUUAUUUCCUUUUUUUUUUUUUUGCUUUUUUAUUCUUUUGUUCCUUUUGUUAAAUUAUUUUAUUCCUUUUUUUCUUCUUCUUUCCUUUUUUUCUCCUUUUUCCUUCCUUCCCUUUUCCUUUUUUUUCUCCUUUCCUUCCCUUUUCCUUUUUUCCUUUCCCUUUUUUUCCUUUUAUAUUUUUCUCUUUUUUUCCCUUUUUUCUUAUUCUUUCUCUCUCGUCCCCUUUUAUUUCCCUUUCCCCCUUUUAUUUCCUUUUUCUUUUUUUUGCUUUUGAUUCCUUUUUUUAUUGUUAAAAUAUUUUAUCCCUUUUUUCUUUUCUUCCCUUUUCCUUUUUUUUCCCUUUUCCUUUUCUUCCCUUUUCCUUUUCCUCUUCCUUUUCCUUUUUUUCUUUUCAUUUUCUUCCCUUUUCCUUUUCUUCCUGUUUUUUUUCCUUUUCCUUUUUUUUCCUUUUCCUCUUCCUUUUCCUUUUUUCUCUAUUCCUUUUCUUCCCUUUUCCUUUUUAUUUUCCUUUUCCUUUUCUUCCCUUUUCCUUUUCCUCUUCCUUUUCCUUUUUUUCAUUUUCUUCUCUUUUCNNNNNNNNNNNNNNNNNNNNNNNNNNNNNNNNNNNNNNNNNNNNNNNNNNNNNNNNNNNNNNNNNNNNNNNNNNNNNNNNNNNNNNCUUUUCUUCCCUUUUCCUUUUCCUUUUCCCUUUCUUCCGUUUUCCUUUUCCUUUUCCUUUUCCUUUUCCUUUUCUUCCCUUUUCCUUUUCCUCUUCCUUUUCCUUUUUUUCCUUUUCCUUUGCUUCCCUUUUCCUUUUCUUCCUGUUUUUUUCCUUUUCCUUUUUUCCUUCUCCUCUUCGUUUUCCUUUUUUCCCUUUUUCUUCACUUUUCCUUUUUUU